UUCCAGAAAAGUCUUGCUUCAAAAAAAAAGAUUUCCUUUCUCUCUCAAAAUAGAAUACUAAAAUCUGAUACAUCCUCCAUCGACACCAAUCUUUGCAGUUAUUUCCCUUCUCACUUAUUCUUUUUAUCAGUAGAUCAUAUGUUCAUCUGAAUCACUUUUGAAAAAUCGAAAACACACAUAUAAAUUUUUUUGUCUUUCCAGAAAAGGUUGCAUGUCGAAUCCGAUAUCAUAACUUUUUAAUCGGAUGAGCUUCGUAUGGUUUUGUAUAUCUCAAAAGAAGAUCUGUAAGAAAAGGCAUUUCUCCCUCAAACAACAAAACGAAGAUCGGGGGUUCAAGGAUCCAACUAAUCCGAAAUGGUCAGAUGGGCUAUGUGUGUUAUCGGAGCGACUUCAGAUGGUUUCAGAUAUAAUUUACAAAUAUCUGAAGCAAUUGAGUUUGAUAUUGUUCACACUUUGUCAAAACCAUGAAAGUAUUCACUGGAAGUAACAUGUUGUGCCGGUGUACUACUCAUAUCAAAGAACUUCAAGAAAUAAGAGCUCAUAUGCAAUGAGCUCGAAAACGAAGGACUAAUGGCUACUAUAUACGAUGCAAUGAAAGCUAAACCAAAAAAUGUGUAUAACUUUGACUUGAACCAUGUCGUUUUCCAGUCAUCAAGGUAUGCUAUUUUCUGUUCUGAAGAAUUUUCUCUGAAAAUAAAAGAAACGAAUGUGUUUGCUUUGAGUAUCAUACAUCCCUAUACUUAUAAGGAAAGAUAAGGCCGAUUUUUAUAAUAUUCAGAUUUAAUUUAGUUGGAGAAGAUCUUGUUAUAUUCACAUAUCUUGAGCAUCAAGCUAAUUUAAGUUACAGAAAAAUCGAUAUGAUGUUUUGGUAUAUUCGGGUAUUUAUGUUAAAAAUGAAUAUUUUCUUUUGUAGUUUAAAUUGAUAGUUUAUUUCCAUAUAUGGGUAAUUACCUAAUAAAUAGCUAAAACCUAACUUUUUUAAUAAAAUAAACGUAUAUUUACUUCACAGAUUUCUUGGAAAUUAUGAUUACAUAUAUUUUAUACGAAUAAAUAGGUAAAUCAACACGUUUUGGUUCCGAGUAUUUGGGGAUAUAAUAUGGAAGGAAUUUACACAGAAAUUUAGAUAAUACAUAUUGAUAUUUUCAAUUUAAUGCUAAUUUAUGGGAAAAAUACGCUAAUAAAAAUCCUAAUAAUAUACUAUCCGGUUUUUUUUAAAGGUUAAAAAUCAGGGUUUAAUGUUUGUUUUGAAGGUAAACGAUUAGGAUUUAGGAUUUGUCAUUUCUAAUGUUUAUUCGUAAAAUUUUUGUUUCUGCAAUAUACUUUGUAAUCAUAUUAUUAAAUUAUCGUAUGUAAACUCUAUUUUAUUUAAAUAAGGUGUAUGAAAGUGUUUAAUGAUAGCUACUGUUAUAUAAGGAAAAUCGUGUAUCUAAGUUGUUUAUUAUCCUAAAUUAUUUAGCUUAAAAUUUUCUAUUUAUUAUGUUUUAAUUUAA